UUUUAAGGGCUGACUGCACUGGGGCUGGGUCUGUUUCUGGAGAUUCCUUCUCUGUGGAGUUUUUCCUGCAAACCUAGGUCUUUGGAUACAGAUGGAUCUGGUCAAGAGGAAUAUUUUACGAGAAGCUAAGAAGAACUUGGCAUAAUUUAUUGGAAAGUACUGUGAGUUGGAGACUUGCUCUGUGGCAAUGGAAAAAAUGUCCUUCCGAACCUUCCGAUCCAUAAUCAAUGAAAAACAGGACUGGACAUGCAGAUUCAUACAACUGUCCUGACCAAAAAUCACAUAGUCACUCAUGCUUGCUAAAUGAAAGAUCAUACAAAUGCUCAAUAAUCUCAUUAUACCCCUUCACAAAUUGUUCAGCAAGUUGAUUACAUGAUGUUAUUAUUGGGAGGAUAAUUUCGUCUAUUUUGUUAUUUAUCUGGCUCUCACAAGCUUCAUCUGAAGACCCACAGUUCUUGUAGCAAGAAACACAGCUCACAGUUAUUUCCUCUUCACCAUCUCAAUGCCAAUCAUGAUUUUUUAAUGAUCAUUAUCACAUCAAAAAUAUUAUUUUUUUCAAGCUGAGAAAUCACAGCCUGCUUAAUUGCUCUUUGUACAGAUGUUUUCCAUUUCAGUUUAUCCUCUAUGCUUUUCUUGGAAUAUUUUUUUAUUUCUAAUUUAUUGCAGAUACAGGAUUAAAACUGCAUUGCUUUUGAGAUGUGGGCAAACUGUGGAUUCACGUAGUAGUAUAAUUAUCUUGUAUAUUCUGCUGUACAUCUCCCUACUAAUUCCUAACAUUUUAUUUGUUUUUUGUUCUUUUUGACUGCUACUGAACAAUAAGCUGAUGAGCUCAUUGAAUGAUUUCACUUCUAAUAUUAAUGCCGAGCUUAGAGCCAAUCAUUAAAGAUGUGGCAUUAGGACUACUUUAGUGCUUAUCAUUUCACGUUUAUCUGUACUGAAAGCUAUCUGCCACUGCGAUCUACCUAGGCAUUCAAUUUUGUAAACUGCAGUUCUUCACAGUCAGCUCACUUACAAACAUGCAACAAGAACUAUUUCCUGCACACAUGGCUGUGGAUGUCCACUGCUUACUGGCCUCCAUUGUAUGAACUGGCUGCUCAUUGCCAAGAAUUAUGAUAAGCUGAUGGGGUUUAUGUCCCUGAGAAAUGGAAGAUAACAGGAAAAAAUCUGUGGGGUUUUGCCAAAUCUUUCUUUCCUUAAAGCCGGGGCUACUCAUGACUGAAGACUACCAAUCUUAGUGUCUUCUGCUCAUUUUGUGAGUUUUAAUUCCUCUUGUUCAACUGUAUAUUAAUGAAAUGUUUUCUAUGUAGUUGUCUUCCUGGUGAACACUGCAUGAUUGUCCAUGACAAUUUUCCUUAUCAAAUGUGGUGUUUGUAGAGUACAGAGAUGCAUUAUCUGUUCCUACAGAGGAGGAAGUCCUCAACAUAGAUCCAGAACAGCCUGAAGAAUUUAAAUAUUUUGGCAUAUGUUGCUAAGACCUAAGUCACGCUAGAGUGCAUGGGACAGCCAUGGGACAGUGUCCAUGGGACAGCCUAGACAUGCAGUGUGAUACAAGCACUCUUGUAAAGAUCAUGGAAAUUUUUACUGUUUUCUUCUGGGAUAUUUGUAGGAUGAUUUCUGUAGUAAUCAAAUGUUCCUUCAGCAAUUCAAAGUAACUUAAUGUUCCUUUAAAAGUACAUGAAAUGCUAGAAAAGUUCUGGAAGAAGCUCAGCCUGUUCCAGUUUCACUAAGAUUCUUUCAGUUUAAGUGGAUUACCAUAAAGCGGUAUUGACAAUUGCUGAGGCAAUUGCACAGGGUACAACUCUCUCCAUCAGCUGGUCAGAGAUAAUUAGGUUGUAAACCUGGCUGCAUUAGUUUAAUCCAAUACUGUGCCCAAGAUGUACAAGCAGUGAAACAUCAUAUCAUCUCAGCACUAUGUCAAAUCAAUACCUGUUUUUGGCAAAAAAAGAAGUGCAAGUUAUGCUGGAGAUAUGACUAAUGGGAAUACUUUUUGGAGCGUGUGUUUGCACUGCAAGGAGUGAUGACAGUUGGUUUCAUCUGGAGUAAUUACAGCUCAGUGACCGCUAGUUGAGUAAUUACUCAGAGGAAAUUCUCUGAGGGUAGGGAAGCAGAUCUCAGUCUUGUGCUGAAAACGUAUCUAAUAUAAUUUCUUUACAUAUGGAAGGAAAAAUAUUCUCUCCCAACAGGAAGGCAAUGAAAACAGAGUAACAGAAAGAUGUAUUUAUUCAGGACCCAAAGGAAGUUGUGUUUCCUAGGUGAUGUGUAUUUUUUUUUUCCUGAAUGUUACAGUGUCAGUUUUGGUCAACACAAUACCAUGAACUUCUUGAACAGAUUAAAGAGAGCAGGAAGGUGGUUUUGACAAAGUACUCUGUCAUACGCAUUACUAAUGCACCAUGUCUCAGAAGGAGCAAAGUAUUAUGUACUUCAAAAACUAUGCGUACAGUGAAAGCAAUUUAUGAGACGUACUUCAUGAAAUAUUGUGAAAAUGUUGUAUCUUGAAAUUAUCUUAGAAUGGUUCUGACCUCCGGGAAGGCCUUUCUAAGCAGAAUGAAUGUGUUAAUUCAGGAAUGUGCCUAGACUAUGAAUUCAGGACAUGCUCUGGAAGGGCAAGGAGGUAUUUUUACAUUUGAUACUUAAGAGUACAGUUCCAGAAAGCAAUUGAGUAGGGACAGGAUGUUAUGUACUGGAGCUGUAUUUGAUAAAGUGUUCCCUGUUCUCAAAGCAUUCCUUCUAUUGGAGUAAGGAGCCAAGGAAAGGGAAAUCUUGACAGAAGAAGAGAAAGUCAGUCGAGAUGUUGCCAAGGCUCUUCUAUUAGAUUAGAAGACUAUCUUCUGUUUCAUCCUUCUGUUAUAAGGAUAUAACCUGAAGCCUUGAAGUCAGUCUAUCAAACCUUUGCAGAACUACUUGUCACUAAAGCCUUGUUGGGACUAUAGAAUUCUAUCUAGUAAAAAAAAAAAAAAAAAAACAA